rnacentral:rRNA from 1 species
GACGAACGCUGGCGGCGUGCUUAACACAUGCAAGUCGAACGGAAAGGCCCUGCUUUUGUGGGGUGCUCGAGUGGCGAACGGGUGAGUAACACGGGAGUAACCUGCCCUUGACUUUGGGAUAACUUCAGGAAACUGGGGCUAAUACCGGAUAGGAGCUCCUGCUGCAUGGUGGGGGUUGGAAAGUUUCGGCGGUUGGGGAUGGACUCGCGGCUUAUCAGCUUGUUGGUGGGGUAGUGGCUUACCAAGGCAUUGACGGGUAGCCGGCCUGAGAGGGUGACCGGCCACAUUGGGACUGAGGUACGGCCCAGACUCCUACGGGAGGCAGCAGUGGGGAAUAUUGCACAAUGGGCGGAAGCCUGAUGCAGCAGCGCCGCGUGCGGGAUGACGGCCUUCGGGUUGUAAACCGCUUUCGCCUGUGACGAAGCGUGAGUGACGGUAAUGGGUAAAGAAGCACCGGCUAACUACGUG